GAUGAACGCUAGCUACAGGCUUAACACAUGCAAGUCGAGGGGAAACGACAUCGAAAGCUUGCUUUUGAUGGGCGUCGACCGGCGCACGGGUGAGUAACGCGUAUCCAACCUGCCCACCACUUGGGGAUAACCUUGCGAAAGUAAGACUAAUACCCAAUGAUAUCUCUAGAAGACAUCUGAAAGAGAUUAAAGAUUUAUCGGUGAUGGAUGGGGAUGCGUCUGAUUAGCUUGUUGGCGGGGUAACGGCCCACCAAGGCAACGAUCAGUAGGGGUUCUGAGAGGAAGGUCCCCCACAUUGGAACUGAGACACGGUCCAAACUCCUACGGGAGGCAGCAGUGAGGAAUAUUGGUCAAUGGACGAGAGUCUGAACCAGCCAAGUAGCGUGCAGGAAGACGGCCCUAUGGGUUGUAAACUGCUUUUAUAAGGGAAUAAAGUGAGCCUCGUGAGACUUUUUGCAUGUACCUUAUGAAUAAGGACCGGCUAAUUCCGUG
rnacentral:rRNA from 1 species